rnacentral:rRNA from 1 species
UACGUAGGGGGGCAAGCGUUGUCCGGAUUCAUUGGGCGUAAAGAGCGUGUAGGCGGCCAGGUAGGUCGGUUGUGAAAACUGGAGGCUCAACCUUCAGAGGUCGACCGAAACCAUCUGGCUAGAGUCCGGGAGAGGAGAGUGGAAUUCCUGGUGUAGCGGUGAAAUGCGCAGAUAUCGGAAGGAACAUCAGUGGCGAAAGCGACUUCCUGGACCAGUACCGACGUUCAGGCACGAAAGCGUGGGGAGCAAACAGG